UACGGAGGGUGCGAGCGUUGUCCGGAAUCACUGGGCGUAAAGGGCGCGUAGGCGGCCUGAUAAGUAGGGGGUGAAAUCCUGCGGCUUAACCGCAGGGCUGCCUUCUAAACUGUCAGGCUGGAGCACAGUAGAGGCAGGUGGAAUUCCCGGUGUAGCGGUGGAAUGCGUAGAGAUCGGGAAGAACAUCAGUGGCGAAGGCGGCUUUCUGGACCAAUACUGACGAUCAGGUGCGAAAGCGUGGGGAGCAAACAGG
rnacentral:rRNA from 1 species